UUUUUUUAAUGUGUCUGUGUUUGGUUUUAGUAUCAUGGUAACACCAGCCUCAUAGAAUGAGUUUGGAAGUAUUCUCUCCUCCUCUGUUUUUCAAAAUACUUUGAAUUAUGUUAGUAUU